GACGAACGCUGGCGGCGUGCCUAAUACAUGCAAGUAGAACGCUGAAGGAGGAGCUUGCUUCUCCGGAUGAGUUGCGCACGGGUGAGUAACGCGUGGGUAACCUGCCUGGUAGCGGGGGAUAACUAUUGGAAACGAUAGAUAAUACAGCAUAACAGUAGAUGUUGCAUGACAUUUGCUUAAAAGGUGCAAUUGCAACACUACCAGAUGGAACUGCGUUGUAUUAGCCAAGUGGUGAGGUAACGGCGCACCCAGGCGACGAUACAUAGCCGACCUGAGAGGGUUGUUGGGCCACCUGGGACCGAGACACGGCUCAAGCUCCCUCGGGGAGGCGCAGUAGGGGAACUUCGGCAAUUGACGGAAGGCCUACCGAGCAACGGCGGGGGAGGGAAGAAGGGUCUCGGGUCGGAAAGGUCCGUUGUGAGAGAAGAACGAGUGUGAGAGUGGAACGUUCACACUGUGACGGUAUCUUACCAGAAAGCGACGGCUAACUACGUG
rnacentral:rRNA from 1 species